rnacentral:tRNA from 1 species
GGAGACGUGGUGGAGUGGCUUAACACACCUCUUUGCUAAAGAGUUAAUCCCUAACGGGAUUCGUGAGUUCGAAUCUCACCGUCUCCG